rnacentral:rRNA from 1 species
UGGGGAAUAUUGCACAAUGGGCGCAAGCCUGAUGCAGCCAUGCCGCGUGUAUGAAGAAGGCCUUCGGGUUGUAAAGUACUUUCAGCGAGGAGGAAGGCGUUGUGGUUAAUAACCGCAGCGAUUGACGUUACUCGCAGAGGAAGCACCGGCUAACUCCGUGCCAGCAGCCGCGGUAAUACGGAGGGGGCAAGCGUUAAUCGGAAUUACUGGGCGUAAAGCGCACGCAGGCGGUCUGUCAAGUCGGAUGUGAAAUCCCCGGGCUCAACCUGGGAACUGCAUCCGAAACUGGCAGGCUAGAGUCUUGUAGAGGGGGGUAGAAUUCCAGGUGUAGCGGUGAAAUGCGUAGAGAUCUGGAGGAAUACCGGUGGCGAAGGCGGCCCCCUGGACAAAGACUGACGCUCAGGUGCGAAAGCGUGGGGAGCAAACA